UGAACAAUGGUGACAUCGCGGGCCC
rnacentral:piRNA from 1 species